GAUGGCACCGCAGCCUGCGGUGGUGUUUGUCUCGGACUGACUGUUUUCGACCGGUUUUGUACUCCUCCUUACGAGAAAACACAUUAAGAGGCCUCGGUUGGCAAAAAAAAUCGAAAAAAACAUGCUCACCGACGGUAGGUUUCCGAUGCGGCGACUCCACUGGCUCACCUUCGCGAUUGGGUGUUUUGCUUCGGUCAACCUGUAGAAAAAGGAAUUCUGAUGACAGUGGUGAAAAAAUUGCACGGAACGUGAAUUGGGAAGGGUCUCAUCGGAGGUAAUUUUUAUUUUUUUCUGCAGCAGCGUUUCUGGGCUUUACUCGUAGUUUACAGCUCAUCCGCCAGUCAUUUUGUUGCAAUUUAGUCAUGAGGGUGUUCAAAAU
rnacentral:lncRNA from 1 species